rnacentral:rRNA from 1 species
UACGUAGGCAGCAAGCGUUGUUCGGAAUUACUGGGCGUAAAGAGUGUGUAGGCGGUUUUCUAAGUUUGGUGUGAAAUCUCCCGGCUCAACUGGGAGGGUGCGCCGGAUACUGAGGGGCUAGAGUGUGGGAGAGGAAAGUGGAAUUCCUGGUGUAGCGGUGAAAUGCGUAGAUAUCAGGAGGAACACCGGUGGUGUAAACGGCUUUCUGGACCAUAACUGACGCUGAGGCACGAAAGCGUGGGUAGCAAACAGG